UUUCUCUGAUCUCUCUUCAGAAUGUCGAAUAAAUCUAUCGCCUUUUACUAAAGAUUUCCGUGGAGAGGGAUACUCUAAUGAGUCUAUAAUAAAUGUUUGUGCUGCUCGUUUCCUUCCAGAGU
rnacentral:snRNA from 1 species